rnacentral:rRNA from 1 species
GAUGAACGCUGGCGGCGUGCCUAAUACAUGCAAGUCGAGCGAACAGACGAGGAGCUUGCUCCUCUGACGUUAGCGGCGGACGGGUGAGUAACACGUGGAUAACCUACCUAUAAGACUGGGAUAACUUCGGGAAACCGGAGCUAAUACCGGAUAAUAUAUUGAACCGCAUGGUUCAAUAGUGAAAGACGGUUUUGCUGUCACUUAUAGAUGGAUCCGCGCCGCAUUAGCUAGUUGGUAAGGUAACGGCUUACCAAGGCAACGAUGCGUAGCCGACCUGAGAGGGUGAUCGGCCACACGGGAACUGAGACACGGUCAAGACUCCUAAGGGAGGCAGCAGUAGGGAAUCUUCCGCAAUGGGCGAAAGCCUGACGGAGCAACGCCGCGUGAGUGAUGAAGGUCUUCGGAUCGUAAAACUCUGUUAUUAGGGAAGAACAAAUGUGUAAGUAACUAUGCACGUCUUGACGGUACCUAAUCAGAAAGCCACGGCUAACUACGUG